CCCGAGGAAGCAGACAGCCCCCAUCCUGGGCACCACUCUGCAGAAGGAAGCUGCCCUUAAGUACCUCCCACAUCCUCCCGCCGGACCUCGGAGCCGCCGUGCCCCCGCCACUCCCACGGGUGCAGCACAGCAUGCAGCCUGCCCUGCCACGCAGAGCUUCGGGACAGCUGCCCACGGCUCCCUCUCCAAAGACAAGCAGAGGCAGCACCAAGCACUGCGGGAGGAGCAGCAGCUCUCUGCACUGGAGAAACGCGCCCGGCGCCAGGCCCAGAUCCCGCUGCUGGAGAAGCAGUUUGACCUUGAGCAGCGGCGUUGCGCGGACACCGACGUGCUGGGGAGGCCCCCCA